rnacentral:rRNA from 1 species
AAGGUAGCCAAAUGCCUCGUCAUUUAAUUUGUGACGCGCAUGAAUGGAACAAUGAGAUUCCCACUGUCCCUACCUACUGUCUAGCGAACCUACAGCCAAGGGAACGGGCUUGGGUUGGUUAGCGGGGAAAGAAGACCCUGUUGAGUUUGACUCUAGUCUGGCG